rnacentral:rRNA from 1 species
UACAGAGGGUGCGAACGUUGCUCGGAAUUACUGGGCGUAAAGCGCGUGUAGGCGGGCUCGUAAGCCAGAUGUGAAAUCCCCAGGCUCAACCUGGGAACUGCAUCUGGAACUGUGAGCCUUGAGUGCCGGAGAGGGUGGCAGAAUUCCUGGUGUAGAGGUGAAAUUCGUAGAUAUCAGGAGGAACACCGGUGGCGAAGGCGGCCACCUGGACGGCAACUGACGCUGAGACGCGAAAGCGUGGGGAGCAAACAGG